CAUCUGGUUCAUACUCCAGUCCAGAAGGUGGCGGUAAUGCACCUGAAAGUUGUUUGCCAACCGCCAUAAAACAAAAAGAAGAAGAAGAAGAAGAAGCUCAGCGCGUUUACAACACUGCAAGGACCGAUUUCUUUUAUAUUUACUCCUGAUUAUUUCGAGUAUUUCUUUAUUUCAAAAAUAAGCCACCAUGCCAGGGUGUUGUGCCCACGGCUGCAGCAACAGCACUGCUAAAGGGACGCGGAUGUUCCGUUUUCCAAGCGAUGAAGAGCGGCGUUUAUUGUGGAUCAACCGAGUCAGUCGCUUGGACCAAGAGACGAACAAAACUUGGAGACCUACAACAAACUCUCGCUUGUGUGAGUCUCAUUUUGAUGAGUACCAGUUCUAGCAGAAUCGUACAGAUGGGAAACGUCCCUUGAAGAAGACAGCACUGCCCUCCAUCUUCCCCCAUCGUACACCAAAGACACCUCGCCCACCACCAAAGAAGCGUUCUGCACCAUCCGAUUCCAAAGGGCAGCCAUCACUGAAGAAAACUCACCUGCCUGAACACUCAUACUGCACCCAUGUACAAGAUCCAGGUCCAGUUGCAUGUGAUGAGCUUAAUGCAGCAAAUGAUGACUUGCAGCUGCUUGAGGAUAUAAGUUGUAAUUUGGAUGUGGAAAAGUCUGAAUGCACCAACUGUCCCCGUCUUUUGGAGCGCAUCAAAGGCCUUCAGGAGAAACUGAAAUCAACCCAAAGAAAACUUCGAACUCUUAAAAAAGAGAAAUUCAAGGUGGAGGCCAGCAUGAACAAGAUCUUUGCUAAGGAUCAAUUUGUGGCUCUAGGAAGAACAAAGAUGAGAACAGGAUUCGCUGUUUCACCUCUCAGGCUAUUGUGUGAGAGGUGUCAUUCACAAUGCCUGUCCUGGCUGCAAAGCAGCUGUCACUGCAAAUUGUGACAGCAAGUUUGACCACCUCACCACCCUCAAAGAGUUCAAGCUCGGAUCUCUCUUCAAGGUGACUGAGAAGGUUUUCUCCAUGAUCCACACACUGGAGAAACACAUCAGAGGCCAGAGAAAUGUAAUUUUGACUGCGUUCAAUUUUAACAUCAUGAGCCACCUGAUUGAAUCAUCCAAAGAAGUUCUUGCGGAUUUCAACCUGCCUGUUUGCUGCGGGAUCAAAGAAAAAAUUGUGAAAAAAUUUGUGACAGUGAGGAUUCACUUUAUGUGCAAGAAGCACAAUGAAGAGUAAACGGAGCGUAACAAUGGCGUCAUGGGCAGCAAGAGCAUGGGCAUGUGAAUGCUUGCUGACAAAACAUGAACACUGGGGAAAAAAAAUAAAAAAUCUUGAAAUAAAAUAUAGAGCAUGCCUUAGUGCUUUGUAAUAGCUACCUUAAAAUGUUGUAUAAUUAAAUACUUGUAUACAGUAAAUACUUGUAUAAGACACACCAAAACUAUUACAUAAAAUUUUUAAGCCAA